UGGGAGUUCGUAAUUCCCAGUCCCUGCAGACUCAUCAGAUAAAUCCGAAUCAUGGUCCACAAGUUGCCAACCACUAAGUGGCUUAUCCAAUUAAGGAUCCAGAGUUGUUUGCUCUGGGAGGUUAGACAAAGGCUUAAUUAUGGCAAAGGCCUAAGUCCUCCUCAAUGUCUGUGAAGACACUUGAUUCAAGAGAAUCAUCAACCAUAAGUUCACAACGUGAAAUGGAAUGAACCGUAGUUGCUUCCGUCAAUUCUUUCAACAACUUGUGAGCUUUCAAUACCAAUUAUUAUUAUAUGUACCUCACAAGUGUUUCACUCUUCUCAAUCUCCUAUGUGUUUGCACUCACUCAUGCUCACAUAUUUUUCAUUCUGAUAUCUCACUGGUUCUUCUCAGACUCUCACCAAGUGUUUAACUCUCAAUGUUUGGCUCACAGUGUUUCUCUCAGCACUCAAAGUAUGGUCUUCUGUACCUGCAUGAGAAAAUCACCAUAGCCCCUUCAAGAGAGGUCACUGGCGGUGCAAUGGGGUUUCGUAAAUCCCCGAUCCUCAACCGACUCAUCAAUAAAUUGACUCAUAGUCAGAGAGUUGCCGAUCUCCUAUAAAUAGGAAAUCCAUUCCAAUUGGAUCCAGAUCUGUUCUUAUCUGGGGAGGGAGACGAGAAUCCUGAAGAUUUGGCAAUUGAGAUCCUCGUUUCCUCCUUACACCUGUAAAGGCAUCAACCAUCUUAUCUACCGUAAAAUGGUAAAUGAAGAAGUUGCUUCUGGAACAAAACCUUUAACCUUA
rnacentral:lncRNA from 1 species